UACAGAGGGUGCAAGCGUUAAUCGGAAUUACUGGGCGUAAAGCGUGCGUAGACGGUUGCGUAAGUCAGAUGUGAAAGCCCCGGGCUCAACCUGGGAAUUGCAUUUGAGACUGCGUAGCUAGGGUGCGGAAGAGGGAAGCGGAAUUUCCGGUGUAGCGGUGAAAUGCGUAGAUAUCGGAAGGAACACCAGUGGCGAAGGCGGCUUUCUGGACAGGUACUGACGCUGAGACGCGAAAGCGUGGGGAGCAAACAGG
rnacentral:rRNA from 1 species